UCUUUGGGUCCCUCUGGGGGCCUAGGUAGAGUAGGGUGCAGUGUUAUCUGCUAUAAUAUGCUUGUCUCUCUCAGUCUUUGCAUUCCUUUUCUGCAUCAUACCAUGGCAUUUUAGCCAUUCUGACCUCAUUUAGAAUGUGCCACCUUGGAAUCCAGGUGCCAGCAGCAACAGGGCAGAUGAUGGGAAUCCCUCCCCAGCACCCGGCCAAGAGCCCCAGCCCACCCAGUGUACCCUUCUAUUCUUUAAUCUCAGCCCCAAAUGACUGUGAAUUCACAGGGCAUUCUUCUAGCUCCAACUACGUCAACUAGAAAGAAGACAUGGCUGGACUCUGUGGUCUAGAAAUGCGUGAGGAGCUAAAAGCAGUGUGCUGGGAUUGCUGUGGUCUGUGUCUAGAAGCAGGCAACAGUGGCCUGGGGUCCAGCCUCGGCCAGUGGGGACCAAUGCCCCACAGGGGGACAUGGUCCGAUCCCCACUGCAGAGAUGACUGAAAACUCAAGCAAUGAAUGAAGGCAUUAAGUCAGAGCCUAGCAGGAACUGGAAUUGAAAUUGCUUCACAGUCUUGCCACACGCCCUACCACACCACGGCAGGCAGCCGAAGCUCCAGGUCAGCCGCACCAGGAGGAGGGUGAGCGACGCACUCUGCAGGCCACUGUGUCCCCAGGUGUUUCUUCAUGUUUCUAAAGGCCGUGUGAUGUCCCCCAUACCUGGAACAGAAAGGAAGUGGCCAUAGCCAGGCCCUGAAUGUGCUGAGUGAGAAAAAAAGGUGCUGGGGGAGGAGGACCUGGACUUCACACUUAACAAGAAGGCUGGGAUGUGGCCCACACCUCUCUCCAUGCAAGACCAUGCUGUGUGAGGGCAAGGGCCACUCAGGUGGGUAGAUGAUUAGGCCAAAGACAGAGGCUUGUCUGCUAGAGUUCAGAUUCUCCCCUGGCGUUCCAGGGGCAAAAGUGAUGCUAUGACCUGGGUGCUGGGAAUAGAAUUCUGCCAGCAACCUCUGCUCUGGGCCUAGGCUGGAGGCCUCUGUGCCACCCGGUGGGCUCUUCCCACUUUGGGAGGGUCAGAGAAGCACCCCCUUCCCGGGGGGCUCCCUCAUGGAGAACACUGGGGGUGGGAGGUGGGUGGUGAGCGGCUCAGGCUCUCUUUGGGCUUCACCUUCCUGGUCAGGUACUUUGGUUUCUCCCUGGGAGUGGGUUCCAGAAGGGAAUCCCCAGGUUCCAUGGACCCUGAAAGAGGGGUGGGGCAGACUGCUGACUCUCCCCCAGGAGACCCCCAGUCACACAGUGGGCCCACCCAUCUUGGCCAUGAAGCCUGGUGGAUCAAGAGAAGUGGGGGAGCUGAGGACAACGUUGCGGGCUACAGGAGGUCCUUUUGGGGAAAGUGACUCUGAUAGCAGGUGUCAGAGCCCCUGGGGGUGUCCCUGCCAUGCUCUGGCAGCUCUGCAUCAUCAAGGAGGAUCCCCCAGCAAGGAGGUCUCACCGCCCCCUGGGUUGUCAGGUAAGCUCCUGGGGCAGAGGUGGCACUGGGUCCUCCGAUCAUCCUGGUGUGUGGGCUCAGUCUGGACCCCUGGGGGUCUUCCCCACCCCCAGACUUUCAUCCACCUCCCCGUGGACUCCUCUGUGCAGGCAAGCACUCCCCUUGCUGGGCCUGUUUCUCCUCUGUCCAGUGCUGAGUGGGAUUCUCCUUCAGCUUGUGAACAGGGACACCCUGGGGGCUCCUCUGGAACUGGAAAUGCGGGAGGAGAAACUGGCUUUCUCUUCGGAGCCAAAGGGCAAUGUUCCUCCAGCUGGGAGUCCACACCCCAGGCAGGCCCCGCCUUCCGCUUGUGAUGCGGGGUCCUACCUCUGCAGCUUUGGGUGUCUGAGUCCGAGGCAGCGCUAAGGAUGAGGUCACUCUGGAGGGCGGCCCCGGGUUCCAGGUGUGGGGGCAUUACCAGACCUUGAGGAACGUGAAGGAUCGCCUGGGCACAUGCUCAGGGCGCGACGUUCAGUGAAAAGUCAUGUUUCGGCCGGGCGCGGUGGCUCAAGCCUGU